rnacentral:rRNA from 1 species
GAGUUUGAUCUUGGCUCAGGAUGAACGCUAGCGACAGGCCUAACACAUGCAAGUCGAGGGGCAGCGGGGGCGAAGCUUGCUUCGCCUGCCGGCGACCGGCGCACGGGUGAGUAACACGUAUGGAACCUGCCCGCCACAGGGGGAUAACCGGUAGAAAUGCCGACUAACACCCCGUAUGCCCACAGGGGCGCAUGCCCCGGUGGGGAAACGAUCAGGGUGGCGGAUGGCCAUGCGGCGCAUUAGCUAGUUGGCGGGCAACGGCCCACCAAGGCGACGAUGCGUAGGGGUUCUGAGAGGAA